CUCCAUAAAAAUAUACCAUUUCUCACGUUUUCGUACCCAUGUACACUAUAUAAAACCCCACUAACCCAUUAACAUUCACGUCCAACUCAGACCGACUUCUACACGGCGUUGAGGAAAUGCUGCCGAUUCUGCAACUGGGUCUUUAACCAUCUUCUUGAUCAGAGAUCAGUGAAUCCAGAUCACACGGCUGAUAAAUUUCCAUUUUUAUGAUAAUGGUGAUGUGGGUUUGCUCAAAGAAAGUGUUUCUUUUGGAAAGAAAAGGUUUCAGGAGAGAAAGAGAAGCAUAGAAUAGGAGGGAACUGUUUCAAACGGUAAUCAGCUGCAUACUCAUCUACUUCUCAAAUUCAAAUCUUGCGCACAUUAAAGGUAAGUUAAAAGGAAUGUUAGACCGUUGCUUUUUGUUAACCGUUGCCUUCAGAUUUUCAAAUUUCAGUUUGCCUAGUUCCAAAAAGGGAUUAAUAAUUUUACAAAGACUGCUUUUACUUGUAAAUUUUCAGUGUUUUCAGUGAAUUAUUUCCAUUUCUGAUGACAAUAACGACCUAUGAGUAAUCCCUUUCGCUUUUUGUAGCAACAAAGAUGAACACUUCUUUUUCUUUUCUUCUCUUUGAUAUAAUAAUAUCUUUCUUCCUUCCUUGCCUCAGUAGUGAAUAAAAACUCGGCAAUUCAAGCCAAUUCCUGGGCCAAGUAUCAGAUUCCAGUACUCCUAAAUUCCCACCAUUCUAUUUUGUUUCUCUAAUUAUCAAAAAAGAUGUUCGACUAACCAAAUUUGUGCACACUUUCAUGAUUAUCUUUUCAGAGCAGAGGGUUUAGCAAAUAGGCCACCACAGAUAAUAAUUAAGCCUCAAAUGGACACUUCUUCGAAUUAUGAUGAUAGUUCUGAUCUGGGUUAUCAUCCCUCACCUUCUUCUCUGGAUCAAACUGAAACUCCAGGAUUCUCAACAACAAGUGGCGAUUCUUUCUUGUUUCGCCGGACUUAUUCAGAGACAUCAGCCUUAUCUGAUGCCAUAGAAGACAACAGCUAUUCAAGCGAACCUUCUUCUUGUCACUGGAUACCAAACAAAUCCGCAGCCCAUAAUCAACCUGUGCUUGGAAGGCUAGGCAUGAAGCAACGGAAGUGCAUUAUCGAUGAUCAAGAAUCAGUAGAUCCAGACCUUGAGAUGAUGAAAGAAAGAUUCGCAAAGCUUUUGCUUGGUGAAGACAUGUCAGGAAGUGGGAAAGGCGUCUGCACGGCUGUCACAAUCUCAAAUGCCAUAACUAAUCUCUAUGGUAUAUAUACACUAAAAACACCACACCAGUAAA
rnacentral:misc_RNA from 1 species